GACGAACGCUGGCGGCGUGCUUAACACAUGCAAGUCGAACGGAAAGGCCCUGCUUUUGUGGGGUGCUCGAGUGGCGAACGGGUGAGUAACACGUGAGUAACCUGCCCUUGACUUUGGGAUAACUUCAGGAAGCUGGGGCUAAUACCGGAUAGGAGCUCCUGCUGCACGGUGGGGGUUGGAAAGUUUCGGCGGUUGGGGAUGGACUCGCGGCUUAUCAGCUUGUUGGUGGGGUAGUGGCUUACCAAGGCUUUGACGGGUAGCCGGCCUGAGAGGGUGACCGGCCACAUUGGGACUGAGAUACGGCCCAGACUCCUACGGGGGGCAGCAGUGGGGAAUAUUGCACAAUGGGCGGAAGCCUGAUGCAGCAACGCCGCGUGCGGGAUGACGGCCUUCGGGUUGUAAACCGCUUUCGCCUGUGACGAAGCGUGAGUGACGGUAAUGGGUAAAGAAGCACCGGCUAACUACGUG
rnacentral:rRNA from 1 species